CGAAAGUUAACAUAUACAAGAACCUAUAAAAGUAGGGAUCUACCCUGUUUGGUUGCAUUUUAGCAUAUAUAAGAACCUAUAUAUUUAAGCUUAAAGUUAGGGAUCUGCCCUAUUUGGUUGCAUACUAGCAUAGACAAAAACCUAUUGAGUUUCGUGCUACAUUAACCUAUUUAAUUGUACGGUUCUACGGAAAAGUCGAGCUUUCCCUGUCUACAAGCAAAGAUUAGCCGAAGAAAUUAUUGAAAAAUACUUAGCAAACGUAAGAGUAAGAGAGGCAUCAUCUAUCAAUGAUACAUUAACGCGAUAUACUGGCCGGCAUUUUCCUAUACGGUUACCUCCAACACUAAAAAGGCGAAGGAAAACAUCAAAACGAUGCAUUAUAUGCUUAUCAAUGUUAGUUCGGAAAGAAACAGUUUUUAAAUGCGAUGUAUGCGAUGUAGCAUUACGUAUGGAUCGUUUUAAAAAAUACCAUGUUAAAUAAACUCUAAGAACUAUUCGGAAGUCAUUUACUUUAGAAGUUAACAAAAAUAAUAAAACUCCCGAUAUACGGCAACGCGCGGUGAUACAGGCCAACUGUCAGUUGAACGACGCUGAUGUCUGAACGGAGUAACUUAAGUAAAAUCAUGAUUCAAAUGAGUUACAAAAAUGAUAAAAAUAAAAAAAGCCAAUUGGCUAUAAGCGAGAUAUAAGGACAUGAAGACGUAACGACAUAUAUAUGUAACUACGAAACUAACCACGCUUUUUAUCCAUCUUUCAUUCAUUAUUGACUCAAGAUUAUUAAUUCUAUGAAUUUUGAUUUUUUAAAAUUCGAAGAAUUAUAUUAAAAUGAACAUUUCACAUUAUAUUGAAAAGAAAUGAUACUUCUCAUUUGGUAUCCAGUGAAAGAAUGACGAAAAGAUAGGAGGAAGAUUGUGAAAGAUGAAACGAAAAUACGAAAUUUUUCAACGAAAAUUUAAAAAAUAGCCAAUCAGAACUCCCUACCAAAAAAAUUAUUUUUAAAAUUAUAGUAAAUUAUGUCAAUAUUGGUUGCGAAAAUUUCAUUUCGGAAGAAAAUCAAAAAUUUUUACGAAAAUUUAACAUAUCUGAAUUUUUUAUGGUACAUAUAAACUAGGGUUAGAAAUAAUGCAAAAUGUCAGAAUAUAAUAAUUUAUUAACAGAGAACAAAGAAAAUAAACAAUACAUUUACAAAUAUUAGAUAUACUUAAUAUGUAUGUGUAUCUCUAUACCAAUAAACCAUCCUAUAAAGGAAAAC